ACCAGUCAGGAACUCCAGCACCAAAAGAGACUGGAAGUAAACAUAGAAUUGGCCAUCUAUUCAUAUACUCAAAACGCUACAAUGCCCAAGCCAAUCCCAGGAUGAAGCCUGCUUGAAGUGCCUUACUUUGCAGCCGGAAAGGGACUCACUAGAUUUCAUCUUUACAGUUACAAAAUCAGAACACACCACAGUACCCACAAACUCAAGGCAAACUUUCCGCAUUGAUCAAGCAACAGACAUUUAAUUUGCAAGAAUGGCUCGUUCAUAUGUGGAAGAGAACAAAGAUAGUCACAAGUAUGUGAAUUCAUUGAGAGCCAACGGUAUAAUUCUUCAACUACUAGUAGCUACUACAAAAACAAUAAGCAUACAAACAAAUCAACAUCCUCCAUAACACCUGUGGCAAGUACCUCCAUCUAUUUUCAAACAACAAUAGUCUUCAAAAACUCUUCCAUUAAUGUACAAAAGAUUGUUGCAUAUUUAACCCAAACAUAAACCCCCUAAAAUCCAAUCCCUUAAGCCUUCUUUGGUGACUUUUUGGCCUUUGGUGUCGAAGCCUUCUCCUCGGAAGCAGUAGAUUUCUUGGGCAACAGAACUGGGUUAAUGUUGGGGAGAACACCUCCACUUGCAAUAGUAACACCAGCCAACAACUUUCCCAGCUCUUCAUCAUUCCUCACUGCCAACAGCAAAUGCCUUGGAAUAAUCCUCGUCUUCUUAUUGUCCCUCGCCGCAUUUCCAGCCAACUCCAACACCUAUGAACCCAAAAUAGCAAAAACAUUAGUUAAAAAGUUACAGAUCUGAGAAGAAAAUCAAAUGGGGUUUUUAGUUUAUGUAUUUCUAGUACCUCAGCAGCAAGGUAUUCAAGAACAACUGCGAGAUAAAUAGGAGCACCAGAUCCAACACGCUGAGCAUAACGACCCUUCUUCAAGUAACGAGCAAUACGACCAACUGGAAACUGAAGACCAGCUUUCACUGACCUAGCUACAGCCUUCUUCUUUGAGCCACCCUUCCUUCCUCCGGCACCUUUGGGUGUCGUAGUAGCAUCCAUUUCUGUCAACAACUAAAUGUUUUGAAGAGAAAAAUAGAGAAUAAGCUUUGAGUGGUUUUUGCCUUUGAGAUUUGAAAGCUGACGAAGAAAAUGGAACGGUGGAGUUUGACAUUUAUAGGAUAGAGAUGGAUUGCCACGCUGGCGAUCCGUGUGAGUGGUAUUGUUAUUUCACGGUGCGGAUUUGUUGUUUUAAUGUAAGAUCGGACGGGUACCAAAAGCUUCAGAUUUUUGUAAUUUUGACGCCAAUAUACUUGGGACUGAAUUUUUUUGGAGACACUACAAUUUGUUGAUUACAUUUCAUUUUAUAUGGUGAUUAAAAAAUUAUAAAUUAAAUAAUAAAUUUUAUCAUUUUAUAUUUUACUCAUAUUAAUUACUUCAACAACAUAUUCAAUGUUUUCCCAUAUAGUGGGAUCUGGGAGGGCAGAGUGUACGCAGAUCAUACCAUUUCCUUAGAUAAAAUAGAGAGGCCGUUUCCGAUAGACUCCCGGUUUAGGACCGAUAACAGUAUAACAAACAUCAAACAUAAAUACAUAUAAAUUAGUACAGUUUGUAAAAUAAACUAACGGCACUAGCCAUAAGAUAAUAUUACAACCACAGGAUAAUACUAAAAACUAUCUAUUCGAAAUCAUAGAUAUCACUCAAUACCAUGAACAAAAAAUUUCAGACACAAAUAAAGAACACUCCCCUACUUUUACCGACGCACUCCCACCCCCUAACUCUCUACCCCAAUUUGUGUUCUCCACAUCUUCCUAUCAAGGGUCAUAUACUUUGUAAAAUAUAACUGCUCCAUAUCAUACCUAAUCACCUCCCUCCAAUAUUUCUUCUAUCUACCUCUGUCCUGCCUAAAAUCAUCCAUAGCCAGUGUCUCACACCUCUGUACUAGAGCAUCAAAGCCCAUCUUCAUCACAUGCACGAACCAACGUAACCUUACUUCCGCAUCUUGUCUUCCACCGAGGUCACUCCCACCUUCUCCUGAAUAAUCUCAUUUCUUGCCCUAUCUUUCCUAGUUUCACCACACAUUUAUCGUAACAUCCUCAUCUCCGCCACCUUCAACUUUAGGAUAUGGAAGUUCUUAACUGGUCAACACUCCGUUCCAUACAAUAUAAACGGUCGGACUGUCACUCUCUAAAACUUUCCUUUAAUUUUCGGGGGCACCUUCCUAUCACAUAAAACUUUUGAAGCGAGCCUCUAUUUCAACCACUCAGCCCCAAUACGAUGCAUGACAUCCUUGUCAAUCUCAACAUUACCCUGAAUCAUAGACCUCAAAUACUUGAAACUCUCCUUCUUCUGAAUGGGCUAAGAGUUCAACUUCACAACCACGUCAGCCUCUUGUGACACAUCACUAGACUUACACUCCAAGUACUCUGUCUUGGUCUUGUUUAACCGAAAUCCUUUAGACUCAAAGGUCUGUCUCCAAAUCAUCAACUUAUCAUUAAUUUCUUCCCGAGUCUCGUUAAUCAAUACCACACUAUCAGCAAAUAACAUACACCAAGGCACCUCCCCUUUAAUAUGUCGCGUCAAAAUUUUCAUCACCAUAGCAAAUAAAAAGGGGUAAGAGUCGAUCCCUGAUGCAACCCUGUCAAAAUCGAAAAGUGCUCUGAAUCUCACCUACCGUCCUUACCCGAGUCUUUGCGCCUUCAUACAUAUCCUGAAUCGAUCCAGUGUAUGCCACAAGUACCCCUUUAACCUCCAAGCACCUCCACAGAAUCUCCCUGGGAAUUUUGUCAUAAGCCUUUCCAAGAUCAAUAAACAUCAUGUGCAAGUCCUUCUUCCUCUCCCGAAACUGCUCCACUAAUCUCCUCACAAGAUGAAUGGCCUCAGUAGUCUAGUAACCUGGCAUGAAACCAAAUUGGUUUUCAGAGAUAGUCACGCUCCUUCUCAACCUCAACUCUACCAUCUUUUCUCAAACCUUCAUAAUAUUACUCAACAACUUAAUACCUCUAUAGUUGUUGUAACUCUGAAUGUCUCUUUUGUUCUUAUAUAAUGGAAUCAUUGUACUCUACCUCCAUGCUUCAAGCAUCUUCACCGCCCUAAAAAUGAUGUUAAACAACCCUGGUAACCACUCCAAACCUGCCCCUCUAGUGUUCUUCCAAAAAUCCACUAGAAUCUCGUCUGGCCCUAUUGCUCUACCCCGACGUAUCUUGCGAAUAAACCCCUUGACCUCCUCAACCUCGAUACUCCUACAAUAACCAUAGUCGCAACACUCCUCAGAUUUCUCCAAGUCCCCCGACACGAAACCUUUGUCCCCCUUAUCGUUCAAAAGUUUAUGAAAGUAAGACUGUCACAUCUUCCUAAUGAGGGCAUCCUCAACUAACAUAGUACCAUCCACGCCCUUGAUGCACCUCUCUUUGUCAAAGUCACGAGCCCUUCGCUCCCUAGCCUUGGCAAGCCUAUACAAUUUUUUAUAUUAUAAUUGUUCAUAUUUAAUAUAUAUUAUUAAUUAUAGGGGUAAAUAUAAACAAAUUAACUAAUUUUGUCCUGAUUUAGGAAGUAAUCAACUACUCCCUCUGUUUCAUAUUAUGUGGUCCUUAUAAACUUGACACACCCAUUAAGAAAUCAAUAAAUAGAGAUUUGUUUUAUAUAUCUACCCUUAUAUGCCUUUUAAAGUGCAAUAGCUAAUGCAACAAUUAAAUAAUGAAAUUUGAACAUAUUACUCCAUCCUAUGCAUUACGCCUAGAACGUUGAAUAUUUAUAAUUGAAACUAGUAAUAAUCAUUUAAUGGGCGUUUGGUCAUGAAAAUUAAAACUUUUGAAGUUAAAUUUAGAGUUGAAGUUGGAAUUGAAGUUGGAGUUGCAAUUGUGUUUUUCAUGAAUAUAGUUGGAGUUGUUUUUGAAUUUUGUUGAGAGAGGGAUAUGGAAAAAAAUGAAAACAACUUUUUCUUGUUUUCCACUUUUUCAAAUCCAACUCAAGUUGUGUUUGAAAUUUUCAUGGCCAAACAUCAACUUGGAGUUGGAUUUGACAUAAAGUGAAUUUUUAUUUUUAUUUUUGAAAAAGUGAAAAAAUAUAAUGGUCAAACAGGCCCUUAAUUUUGGUUUGAGAAUUAAGAUCACUUAUGCACCAUUCAAUAAUUUUGAAAACUUUGAAUGUAUUUAAUACUCCUACCAAGUUAAGAAAGCCAACUAAUAUAAAUUGGAGUGAGUAAUAUGGGACAUUUAUUUUUGGCAGAAUACAUCGACACACCUCUUAACUUGACAUUAUUUUUUACUUUGGCACUUCAACUGAGUGGUGUCCAUUUUUAACACCUUAAGUAGUCAUCAACUGUGUCACUUUGACACAUUUUGCUGAUUUGACACAUCGUGUAUAUUGCACACACUUUGAGCGCGUGAAUAGCUUAAAAACUAUACUAAUUUUUAGUUUUCUUCUUCUUCUUUCUUUUGAUCUUCUUCAACACUUUUCUCCAUUUUUAUUCACCAACCACUCAACCCAACCACGAUUUCUUCCUUAAUGAUAGUCAAAAAUGGAGAAAAAUUAAUCUACCAUCACCUUCUUCUUUCAAUUUCUAUAAAUUCAUAAUUUUCAAUCUCUCAUUUUAGCUCAAUUUCUGCCUCAAUUUUAAGUUCAUUUAAUGAUGAAAAGUUUUGAAAUAGAGUUAGAGUUAACAUGAAAGAAUGAAUAGUGUCAAAUGCAAUUAGAUUGUGAAAAUUUCCACCAAUUUGAAAUCUCAAUAAAUUUUUAACAAUUUUUUUGGUGAUGAAUUCUUAACAGUUUUUUCUUUUUUCAAAAGAUGAUUGUGUAGUAGGAGGUAAUUGAAGAGAAGGUUUUAGAUGUGGGGAUGGGUAGGCAGAGGAGGUGAAACGGUGGUAGUAAUUGGAGAAGACUACCAAGGGGUAGGGAAGUGGGUGGGGUGGGGGUGGGGGUGGAUGAGGUGGAGAAGACAAAUUUGGUGAGGGUGGGGUAAUUAUAAUCUAUUUUUUUAUAAUUAUUUGGGUUAAAAAGUGUCAAGUGUCAAUAUUUAAUUGAAAUUUUUUUAUUUUAAUUAAAAUUAGUUGUUUAAAAAUUAAGUUGGAGAGAAAUGACAAAUGUCCGCAUUUUAUUCGUCAAUUUUAAUGUCAUUAGCGCAAAUAGCACACAUGUGGAGUAUUUUUUUGCUGGUUAUGAAAAAAGUGCUGAAAUGACACACUUGAGACUGCUUUAGUUGCUAAAAAUGUGCACCGUCCCCUUGAAGUGCCAAAGUGAAAGAUGGUGUCAAGUUAAGGGGCCUGCCGAUGUAUUCCGCAUUUAUUUUUAGUAAGAUGAUUAACUAAAAUGGGACGAAGGGAAUAGCAUAUAUGCUAAAAAAUUUAUCUCAAAAUUGUUGCUAAAACAUUGUUUCAAUAUAGUUAGAUUGUUUUAAAGAUCAACAGAUAAUUAACUAUUUCCCCCGUCUUAUAUUAGUUGUUGGCUAUUUUCUUUUAGUGGCGGAUCCAAGAUUUAAGGAUAGUGGGUACUUUUAAAAACUGAAAAAGUAAAAAACCAACUCAAUGAGGUUUGAAUCCGAGGCCUCCUUCCAAUGGGUGCUUUCAUAUGGUUUAUACCUAUUUUCAUAUAUUUUCUAUGUAAUUAUACUUAUUCCAUAUCGAGUUUAGUGGUGCUGCAGCACCCCCAAAAUCCUACAUAGGUCCGCCCCUGUUUUCUUUUUUAUACGCUUAUUAAGAAAUGAUAAAUAAAUAAAUUAAAAAGGCAUUUUUUACCAAUUCACCUUAAAAAACUUUUUAAAAACUUUACAAGUAAGUGUGAACACUUUAAAAAAAAAAAAAAUUGUUAGGAUAAUAUGAAAAAAUUUAAUUAAUGUUUUGUUGAUUUAGAAUCAUGGACAACUAAUAUACAACAACCAUUUUAGUAAUAUGAUCAACUAAUAUAGGACAAUUAUUUUAGUAAGAUGACCAAUUAAUAUGGAACAAAGAGAGUAUUUUUUGUUCAACUAUACCCUUAGAAAUUAAUUUUUAGAUUAAUUGAACAAGAUUCAAGUAAUCAAGAUUAAACAGAUAAUAUAGUCAUAUUACUCAAUCUAAAUCCCUUAUUAAUUUUUCUUAAGAGUUGUUCAAAUCUAUACAUGCCAACUAUCUUGAGACGAGAAGAGUAGUUGGAGAUUUUUGUCAAUAUACUUCGUGGACUCUGGUGUUUUGCCAUGCAGAUGUUCUACCAAAGUAUUUCAGCACUGAAUGGUUUUUGGACUGUGGCGCAGUCCCGCUUGCAAGAAGGUCUGCAGCACAUUGUGGCCUUUGGUCACCAAAAGAGUACGGUUGUGAUUCUUGGCAUGGAUGGCAGGUAAUUUUGUUAACAUAAGUACCUUUGGGAAGAAUCCUGGUGCGAGUGUGUCGCUUUGUAGUCUUUGUUUCUUUUUUCCAACAUUGUCCCAACUUUCGUGACAAGUGAAUUACAUCUUUGGAAUUGAACUACUAAUGCUUUGGUGCAUUGGAAAUGCAGUUUCUACCGAUGCCUGUUUGGUGCAGCAACUGGUGGGGAGAUGACCCUGUUCGAAUAUCAAUCUUGUUGCGUGCAUGUAACAGUUCCUUUUUCUAUUCACUGCCCUACUUCUGUGGCUUUUGUUUUUGCUGUAUCUAUUUAUGAAUUUGCAGGGGAACAUGGUAGUGACUGUAAAUAUGCUGGCUGUAUAGGUUGUUGGGUUCAUAGAAGUGUGAAUGAGAAAUAGAGAAGAAAUGGUGGAGGAAAAGGAGACACCAAAAUUGGAAAGUGUACUCCUAAUUUGGAAAGCUUACUCUUUCUCGCACAUUGGUGGAAGAAGAGAAUUUUUUAGUGCUUAUAUUGUGAAACACUUACUCCACAUGGUAAGUGAGGCAAGGAAAUAGAGAUGCCUCGCACCGUCGUCGCUCGCUUGGAUUUGAAUUUGGCAAAUGAUCGAUCGAUGAGAUCUAUCUUUUUGGAUAAAUUUUAUUUGACAAAAUCUGAACAAUGAUGAAAAACGCAGGAAAAUAUUUCUGAGUUUUAAUCCUUCAUUUACAUGCAGUAACAGUGACGCGAUGCUACUAUUUUAUGUGAACAGCAACACAGAACAGUUGCACUGCUUCGGAAAUGUUGCAUUGCUUCAGAACUGGUGCACUGUUUUAUGUUACUUAUUGCAUUGCUUCAGAACUGGUGCACUGUUUUAUGUUACUUAACUGAAAUGAUGCACUGGUUGAAUAAACAGAUGCAACCAUUCAGCAAAAGACACACUGAUUCAUCGAAAGAUAUAACUGUUCAGGAAAGGAUGCAAUCUUUGAUAAACAGACAUGAAUUUACAGCAAAGGUGCAACCUUUGGAGUGAACCAUUGCCUCCUUUCUAAAGCGGCAUCUUGUGGCUAUAAAUAACCUGGUUUUUAUCCACAGGUUAGAGAUAGAAAAUACAGAAAUUUUUAGAUUACAAAACAUUCUUAUUGUCUUAAAAAAUACUCCAAGUGUGAUCAUUCAAACCGUGAUUGUGUUCGAAGAAUCCGCCUAUUUAAGGUACCGCUAUAAUCGGAUUUAAGGUCAUUUUAUCCUGGAAGGAAGAUUCCAUAACCUCGGGUACAGUGAGGAGUAUUAAUCCUUAAGGAAAGUCCGUGAACUCGGACGAUUUGGCCUUAAUCAUUUCUGUUUCAUCUUUAUUUUCUGAAAAAUAAAUACACCUCUUGGAAAGGUCUUUUUGAUCUUGUGUUGAGGGUGUUUAAUACUUCAUUGUGUUCUUGUUCAUACUUGAACUCAAGUUGAAGUUGUUGUUCUGUGAUACAGAUUCUACAUACUCGUAUUGUGGAAAAUAACAUAGGUUACUGCUGUGUAUAAUGCCAGAUAACAAAAUCGCUAUGGACGUGUCUGUCAUCUUAGUGCUUGAAGUAUCUACUUAGUUUUGCUUGGGAACUAAACAAGUUGCUGCUUAAAGCCUGUCAAUUAUAUAAAGUUUUCAAUUUUAUACGUCUCAACUAUAGUCAACCUUCAGUCUUUCUAGUCCACAAUCCUGGAGAAAAGAUGCAAGCACUAAAAUAAAUGAACAAAUAGGAAAACUUUACAUUUUAGCUGGUCCGCAAGGUGCUCUAUACCACCAAAAGGCAUCUCAUGAAAUUCAAUGACGAUGUCGCUGGAAUAGUUCAACAAGAACCCCCUGUCUCCACACAAAGGAUUUACUCCUACAGACAAACGAACUGAAGGAGAGCUACUAAGGGGACUAUGUCUUAGCAUAUUUAUUUCAUUAAUCUGUACUCUAAAUAGCACAUCUACAGCAAAACAAAGGUAUUGCUGGCACUAAAUUGAAACACUAGACGUUCUGUGCUACAUACUUGCACAUUUCCAUAUCAGAUACAAAGAAGCAUAUGAAUCCCAUUUUAUAUAGGUAGUAAAUGGUAUUCCUCAUCUAAUAUGUAUGUAAAGCUACUUACAUCGUUCCUCAUAUUAAGAGUGAAAUGGCAUCUAAUUUUGAAGAUAAAGAAAAGGAUAAAAAAAAAUUGAAAAAAACAUUGAUUUUGCUCAUGAAUGGUUUGGUGUGAAAGCAAAAGAGAUGUUUCCACAGUUGCAUUGGAAGUGAAAUCUUUUCCAGAUGAGGAAAAAGAUAAACUUGCACCCUCUCCAUAAUGCUGUGAUAAAUCAAGAGAAAGUGCACACUUCCUUUAUCUUAAUUGAAACACAUUCAUGUUAAGAAAAGAUGGACCCAACACUGUAAUCAAAUGAGAUUGUGGCUGCACGAAAUGAGAAGUUCUUUCUAGUCAUUUCCCGUAAGAAAGUUUUACUAAAUUUGUAGCCUUUGAGAAAUCAAUGCACAAUAAUAUUGUAAGUUGUGUUGUCUGACAAGCAAACAUUUGUCACCAUUUCUUUUAGCAUAUCUGCAUACGCAUAGUUGUGCACCAGUCAGGGACUCCAGUACCAAAGGAGACUGGAAGGAAACAUCAAUAUGACCAUCUGCUCAUAUACUCAAAACACUACAAUGCCUAAGCCAAUCCCAGGAUGCAGCUUGCUUGAUGUGCCUUAUUUUGCAGCUGGAAGUGGACUCACUAGAUUUCAUCUUUACAGUUACAAAAUCAGAACAUAAUCAAAACAGACCAUAGUACCCACAAACACAAGGCAAACUUUCAAAACUUACUGCAAUAAUCAACCAACAGACGUCAAAUUUCAAAGAUUGGCACAUUCAUAUGUGAAAGAGAACAAGGAUAGUCACAAGCAUGUGAAUUGAUUGAGAGCCAGCGGUAUAAUUCUUCAAAUACUACUAGUUACUACAAAAACAAUCAGCAUACAAACAAGUUAACAUACUCCUUCACACCUAUGGAAAGUACCGCAACAAAAUUAUACAAUGAAAGAGCAAUUCCUCGAGAGUUAUCCUGCAGUCUUCAAAAACUAUACAAUUAUUGUAUCCUUCACACCUAUGGAAAGUACCGCAACAAAACUAUACAAUGAAAGAGCAAUUCCUCAAGGUUUAUCCUGCAGUCUUCAAAAACUAUACAAUUAUUGUACUAAAUGAAACAACAAAUCCACAUGUUCAAAAUGCUGUGAUAAAUCAAGAGAAAGUGCACACUUCCUUUAUCUUAAUUGAAACACAUUCAUGUUAAGAAAAGAUGGACCCAACACUGUAAUCAAAUGAGAUUGUGGCUGCACGAAAUGAGAAGUUCUUUCUAGUCAUUUCCCGUAAGAAAGUUUUACUAAAUUUGUAGCCUUUGAGAAAUCAAUGCACAAUAAUAUUGUAAGUUGUGUUGUCUGACAAGCAAACAUUUGUCACCAUUUCUUUUAGCAUAUCUGCAUACGCAUAGUUGUGCACCAGUCAGGGACUCCAGUACCAAAGGAGACUGGAAGGAAACAUCAAUAUGACCAUCUGCUCAUAUACUCAAAACACUACAAUGCCUAAGCCAAUCCCAGGAUGCAGCUUGCUUGAUGUGCCUUAUUUUGCAGCUGGAAGUGGACUCACUAGAUUUCAUCUUUACAGUUACAAAAUCAGAACAUAAUCAAAACAGACCAUAGUACCCACAAACACAAGGCAAACUUUCAAAACUUACUGCAAUAAUCAACCAACAGACGUCAAAUUUCAAAGAUUGGCACAUUCAUAUGUGAAAGAGAACAAGGAUAGUCACAAGCAUGUGAAUUGAUUGAGAGCCAGCGGUAUAAUUCUUCAAAUACUACUAGUUACUACAAAAACAAUCAGCAUACAAACAAGUUAACAUACUCCUUCACACCUAUGGAAAGUACCGCAACAAAACUAUACAAUGAAAGAGCAAUUCCUUGAGGUUUAUCCUGCAGUCUUCAAAAACUAUACAAUUAUUGUAUCCUUCACACCUAUGGAAAGUACCGCAACAAAACUAUACAAUGAAAGAGCAAUUCCUCGAGGUUUAUCCUGCAGUCUUCAAAAACUAUACAAUUAUUGUACUAAAUGAAACAGCAAACCCACAUGUUCAAAAUCAACCAACAGACGUCAAAUUUCAAAGAUUGGCACAUUCAUAUGUGAAAGAGAACAAGGAUAGUCACAAGCAUGUGAAUUGAUUGAGAGCCAGCGGUAUAAUUCUUCAAAUACUACUAGUUACUACAAAAACAAUCAGCAUACAAACAAGUUAACAUACUCCUUCACACCUAUGGAAAGUACCGCAACAAAACUAUACAAUGAAAGAGCAAUUCCUCGAGAGUUAUCCUGCAGUCUUCAAAAACUAUACAAUUAUUGUACUAAAUGAAACAGCAAACCCACAUGUUCAAAAUCAACCAACAGACGUCAAAUUUCAAAGAUUGGCACAUUCAUAUGUGAAAGAGAACAAGGAUAGUCACAAGCAUGUGAAUUGAUUGAGAGCCAGCGGUAUAAUUCUUCAAAUACUACUAGUUACUACAAAAACAAUCAGCAUACAAACAAGUUAACAUACUCCUUCACACCUAUGGAAAGUACCGCAACAAAACUAUACAAUGAAAGAGCAAUUCCUCGAGAGUUAUCCUGCAGUCUUCAAAAACUAUACAAUUAUUGUAUCCUUCACACCUAUGGAAAGUACCGCAACAAAACUAUACAAUGAAAGAGCAAUUCCUCGAGGUUUAUCCUGCAGUCUUCAAAAACUAUACAAUUAUUGUAUCCUUCACACCUAUGGAAAGUACCGCAACAAAACUAUACAAUGAAAGAGCAAUUCCUCGAGGUUUAUCCUGCAGUCUUCAAAAACUAUACAAUUAUUGUAUCCUUCACACCUAUGGAAAGUACCGCAACAAAACUAUACAAUGAAAGAGCAAUUCCUCGAGGUUUAUCCUGCAGUCUUCAAAAACUAUACAAUUAUUGUAUCCUUCACACCUAUGGAAAGUACCGCAACAAAACUAUACAAUGAAAGAGCAAUUCCUCGAGGUUUAUCCUGCAGUCUUCAAAAACUAUACAAUUAUUGUACUAAAUGAAACAGCAAACCCACAUGUUCAAAAUCAACCAACAGACGUCAAAUUUCAAAGAUUGGCACAUUCAUAUGUGAAAGAGAACAAGGAUAGUCACAAGCAUGUGAAUUGAUUGAGAGCCAGCGGUAUAAUUCUUCAAAUACUACUAGUUACUACCAAAAAAUAAAUAAAAUAAAAAUAAAAAUAAAAACAAACAGCCUACUUCACCAAAAACUAAAUAAGGCACACAAGUCAGCUUUCUAUAACAUAAGACAGGAAAUAAUUACUUAGAGCCUGCAAGGGAUUUCAGUUAACAACACUACCGGACCACUGAAUUUAUAUAAACAACUUAAAUCAAGAAAACCAACAAUAUUUGCACAAGUUAUCCUAUUAGCAUCUGUCACGGUUCCAAGUUCAAUCUUCUUCCAUCUAUAACACCCAAAAAGCUGCAGAAGAAACUAAUAUUUAUGCCAAAGUUUAUAAGCUAUCAUAAGUUCAAAAGCAUACCCACUGAAACAAACUUGUUACCAAAACCAACAGCUGAAAAACUAAAAGAAACAUGCCCUGAUCUAUACUUUACAACAAUUACCAAAAUUUGAGAAUACUUGAUGAAUGCAAUACAUUUUAAAGUGGUGCCAAUUACACAAAAUAAUCUCACAGCUUUUUUACUUAUCAAAUUGAGAUAAUAAGAUAAGACAAUGAAUAACCCAAGAGGCCAAAUUUAGACAAUAAGAUUAGAAAAUGAGAUACUUUCUAUGAUAUUUCCAAGCACAUUACACCAAGGUUAUCAAAACAUAACAGAAACCUACAUCCUACUGCUAGAAAUUCCCAUAAAACUAGACAAAAGAUUACUGCAUAUUUAACCCAUACAUAAAACUGCCAAAUCUAUUAGGCCUUCUUUGGUGACUUGGUGGCUCUGGGCGUCGAUGCUUUCUCCUCGGAAGCAGUAGAUUUCUUAGGCAACAGAACUGGGUUAAUGUUGGGGAGAACACCUCCACUUGCAAUGGUAACCCCAGCCAACAAUUUUCCCAGCUCUUCAUCAUUCCUCACUGCCAACAGCAAAUGCCUUGGAAUAAUCCUCGUUUUCUUGUUGUCUCUUGCUGCAUUUCCAGCCAACUCCAACACCUAUUAAAUAAAAUGAAUAGAUUAUUAUAAAAAUCAAUAGAAAAUUACAGAUCUGAGAUAAUUUAUUGGGUUUAUUAUACCUCAGCAGCGAGGUAUUCAAGAACAGCAGCGAGGUAAAUAGGAGCACCAGAUCCAACACGCUGAGCAUAACGACCUUUCUUCAAGAAACGAGCAAUACGACCAACUGGGAACUGAAGACCAGCUUUCACAGACUUAGUUACAGCCUUCUUCCUUGGGCCACCCUUCCUUCCUGCUGCACCUUUGGUUUGCUUAGCAGCAUCCAUUUCGACAAACAAACAAUAAGAUUUGAAGAGAGAAAAUUGCUUCUAGUGAUUUCCGCUUUGAGAAUUGAAUGCUGAUGAAGAAAAUGAAACGGUGGAGUUUGGUAUUUAUAGGAUAGAGAUGGAUUGCCACGCUGGCGAUCCGCGUGAGUGGUAUUGUUCUUUGACGGUGUGGAUUUGUUGUUUUCAUGUUAGAUCGUACGGUUAGGAAAAGCUUAAAAGAUGGCGAUCCGUGGUUAAGGGAAACAGCGAAUGAUUUUGUGACACGCGUAUAUGUUUGGUGAAUUGCAGUAAGAGGUGAAUCGUGCGCGGGGAAUUUGAAUUUUACUAAAUUUAUUUUUUGCGCCUAUUUGUGAAAACUUUCUUAGCAAGAGAAAUAAAUGGGAUAAUUAUUUUUAUUCCUAAUUAAGUGCUAUUUAUAAUUUACCCGUCAAUCUCAAUAUCUCAUAUACAGUCAUUAACGAUUUUGCUCUUGGUUAUUAAAGACCCUAGCUCCUAAACUUUAUUAAUACUAUAACUAAAUUGUGAUUUUGACACCCAUCAACAUAAAAUUUGCAUGAAUAUAAAAUGAUCCUACUCACUAGUUUUUUUCCAUUUUUUAACUAAAUAAAAUUCUUACAAAAUAGCCAAGUAAAUCUUUUUUUAUGUUGAUAAGAAUUAGAGCAUAAAAGGGAUUUUGUCUAAUUUGGAUGCUUAUUUAGGAGGUGUCAAAAAGACUUAUCAGUAAUUUGAGAUCUUAAUAAAAUGAUUAUAUAAUUUAUUCAAUAUUAGGUAUAAAUAUAAAUCAAUGUUAUUAAACCUUACAGGGAGAAUUCAGAUAACUUAAGCAUUUCAUAAAGGCAUAAUAUUAUCAUCAAGUGAUAGAGAUAUAAAGGCAACACAAUGCACUAAACUUCUCAUUGUGUGCGAGGUUAACACAGAAAAUCUUAAAAUAGUAAAAUGUCAUAAUUGAGAUCGGAACUUGUGAUGGAUCUGUUUGGCACUUUUUGUCAUGUCAUAGGUAUAAAUUUCAUAUACUCGAACUUCAACUUGCAAGAUAUCGCUAUUUGAUUUAGACCACUUCAAAUCUCCUCGCCUUGACAACCUAUCACAGUAGAAUAAAUGAAUAUCUAGACAGUAGGGGUGUGCAAAAACCAAAUUGACCGAUAAAAAUGCUAUUGGGUUAUUGGUUAAACCGAUAAUCUAAUAAGGAUACAUUAAGUUAUUGUUUUACCCCUAUUUAUGUUAUAUAUAUAUAUAUAUAUAUAUAUAUGGAGUCUAAUACUUCUAACCAUGUUUGGAAAAUUCCGUUAGUUUUUCAAAGUUUGAAGUAUUUAGUAGCUUCCGACAAUUAGGAUUCAUUUUUUUUUUCGAACCAACAUUCAGUUCAAGUUUGAAGAUUCUUGUAAACUAAAAUGCAUUGCGUAGGAUUUUGGCGGUAACUAAGAUUUCAUUUUUUUGAUAUUGGUUGUUACUAUUUCUAUUUUAAAUGUAUUUUCUUAUUGGUUAAACCAAAAAUCGAACCGUUAAAGACUAAAAAUCAAUGAACCGAAAACUGAUAAGAAAAUAUCUUAUUGGUUGGUUAUUGGUUUUACAAAUUGAAAAACCGAUAAAUCAAACUAAUAACAUGUAAAACCGAACCGACCAAUGCACGCCCCUACUAACCAAGUACUUCUUUUAACAUCUCGUAUUACAUUGUUAAUUUUGUGGUAUGUAUCAAUAGAGACGCAAUAUGUAAGGAUAACUUUAAUAUGACUUUUAUCUUAUUUCUCUUUUUCUUUAUGCUCUUACUUAUUUGAUGUUUCCUCCCUUUUAAUUCAAGUAUCUAAUCAUUGCGUAGGAUUUUGGCGGUAACUAAGAUUUCAUUUUUUUGAUAUUGGUUGUUACUAUUUCUAUUUUAAAUGUAUUUUCUUAUUGGUUAAACCAAAAAUCGAACCGUUAAAGACUAAAAAUCAAUGAACCGAAAACUGAUAAGAAAAUAUCUUAUUGGUUGGUUAUUGGUUUUACAAAUUGAAAAACCGAUAAAUCAAACUAAUAACAUGUAAAACCGAACCGACCAAUGCACGCCCCUACUAACCAAGUACUUCUUUUAACAUCUCGUAUUACAUUGUUAAUUUUGUGGUAUGUAUCAAUAGAGACGCAAUAUGUAAGGAUAACUUUAAUAUGACUUUUAUCUUAUUUCUCUUUUUCUUUAUGCUCUUACUUAUUUGAUGUUUCCUCCCUUUUAAUUCAAGUAUCUAAUUUAUAUUUAUUUAUUUUGUUUGUUUUCUAAAAAAAAUGUAUAUUUAGUAAUAUUUUAAUUUUAAUAUUUUAUAUGAUUUAUUUAAAAUCAUAAGAUUCAAAAAGAUCUUUUGAUCCAUUACAUAUAUCUUUGAUUAAAACUAAAAGGAAUAGAAAAACUCCCUUAUUUUCUCAAUUCAUGUAUCUAGCCAGACAUCACACUUGAAUUACAGUUAAAAUAAUACGUAGUUUAUGAUCUUUUAAACCUUCUAUCCUAUUUUUCUAGUUAACUCCAACAUUAGGUAUUCGUCGGUUAUAAAUGGUUAAUGUUAAUAAUUGAUGGUAGUGGUUGAAGAAUGUAUGGUAGUUGAGGGUAAUAAUAGUUGUAAUCAUAGAGGUGGUUGGGUGUUAGUUGAUAAUGGUGGUGAGGUGGCAGCAACGACAUUGACAUUGGUGGUGUUGGCUAAAGAAAAUACGGUGGUAGACGAUGUAUUUAUGGUAGUUAACCGCAAUUCUAAUUGUGAUAAUGGGGUGGCUAAUUGUAGGGAUUGAUCAUAAUAAUGACGGUGGCUGAUAGCGAUAGCAACAGUGAGAACGACAAUAUAUAUCGUUAUAAUGAUAGAGGUAGUAAGCAUUGUAGCAGCUAUUGACAAUGAUAUUUGCAUGUGGUGGUACUUGUCUGUGGUAGUUGUGCUGGCGGAGGUUGCCGAUUUGUGGUGGUGUCUCAAUGAUGAAAAUUGUGGUUGACAGUAGUAGUAGCUAAUAAUUAUGGUAAGAGUGGUGAUAAAAAAUAUCAAUAUAAAAAUACUUUUUGAUGAUAUUAAGACCUAUUAAGGGUUGAAUCUAAGUGAAUUGAAUGCAUCAUUAAUAAAUGUACUCAAUGAUCUAAUAUAUGGAUGACUCAAAUUCAGACAUUCAUUAAGUGAAAACAAAUACAAGUAACUUAAAUCUCAACAAAAACAAAUAUAUAGUAGCUCAAAUUCAACUCAUCAAGUGCAAAUAUAUUGGGUGAUCAUGGUUUGGUUUUUAAUUAAUAUCAAAUUGAAACCAAUUUAGUCAAUUUUUAAAUUUCUAAAACUGCGUCGAACUUUAAUAAAAUAAAAUCUUUGAUUUGGUUGUUGUUGGUUUUGUUCGAUUUUCAAUUUAGCUAAUGAUAAAUUGAUAAUACUAAACCAACAGAGAAAUGAGAUGGCUCUUUCAAAUGAACAUUAGGACUCAACAACAUUCUCUCUAACAUCACAAGUUAAAUGUGUUCAAAUCUUUUCUUAGUUUUCAAUAGUAUUUUAAAACUUUAACAUGUUUAAGUUGUAUAACUAUAGAUGUUUUCCCAUUUCACAUGUCUAACAUCCACUAAAUGUACAAUUUUAAAUAAAAUGAUCAAGCCGUAAAAAAACAAAGGGGCAAGCUGCUGGAGAUGGAUAUUUUUAGCAAAUAAAAAUAAAAAUCAUUAAUACACCACACCACACCACAUAUAUACAUUUGGACUUAGACUACAUUUAUUUUUAUUAAGAUCAAGACGUCUGAAUCUGAAUGUAUAUCUGAAUAAUUAAGAUUUUUGUCUCUAAAUUUGAAAUUGAAUGAUUAAAACUGUUUAUCUUUUCAAUAUUUGAAUAUGCAUAGCUUAUUUAUUUGUAAACAUAAUAAAUAUAUAAUUUAAUUAAUUAAUUAGUCAAAUCUUAAAAAAAUAUCAAUCUAAUAAAGUGUAAUAAUUAUUUAAUAAAAAAAUUAUAUUUGCCAGUGACGAUGGAGAUGAUUUGUAAUGACAAUGGUGGUCAUAAUAGUUGGUGUUAGUGGAUAAAAGUGGUGGUGAUAAUAGUUAUGGUGGUGAAACUGGCUAGUUUUUGUAGUGACUGUCGUAUAUGAUAGCAUUUGAUAGUGAUGGGGUGGUUGUGAUGUGAAGUUGAUUGAUGUUAGUAGUUGGAGAUGUUGAUAGUGGUGGUUGACAUAUGUAUGUAUGAUGAUUGACAAUGUUCCAAUGGUAAUUGGAGACCCUGUUAGUGGUUGAUAAUUAUGGUAAAGGUAGUGACACCAAUGACAAUAAUGAUGAUAGUGGGCUGAUUUUGGUGUAUUUAUACGCCUAAGCACCAUAACUUAUCCAUAUUUUAGCUAAGUUUAGAGAACAAAGUGCGUAGUUUCUUAUGUUUUUACUCUACUUCUAUGUAAUUGAGCUAACUGAUGUGAUUAGCAUGAUUUCAAGUAUUAAUGAGGUAGAUGAAGACAUAAUGGGACUAUGAAAUGCGGAUGACAUAUGACACAAGAGAGAGUAGCAAUCUGGACCAAAUGUGGCACCUAGAAACUAUGUCCAAGACUAAUUUAUCAUUUAUAAUUAGUUCAGGCACUUAGAAGGAAAUUAUGAGAGAAGAGAUUAUUAAAAGACUUAAUUGUUGAAUUUUUAUUCACAAUUCAUUAUUCUGUAUUAUUCUGAGAGAGGAGAAAGACGGCUUAGCUUGAGGAAAGAGAGAGAAAUAUUUUUCUCUCUUAUUUUUACUAUUCGCACACCAAGAUCGUCUUCUAAUUUUUGGUAUGAUGAAUAUAUUUAUGAUGCUUUUCGUUUUAUUCAUGAGUAACUAAGUUUAUUAGUUAGGGUUAUGGAAGACUUGUAGUAUACAAUCUAUCACUCUGGGUUUUGAAUUCAUUAUGCAUUGAUUUGUUUACAUCAUACUCUCUUCGCUUAUCUUGAAUUCUCGUGGUUGCAAACAUAGAGGAUAUGCCUUAAAACGCAACUUGUUCGAAAGAAAGGUUGAUGUUCGGAAAAGAGAGUAGUGAUAAGAAAAUAGUAUUACCAACCCCUAUUUUAUAAGUUAAUACCUUAGCAAGAUUAACUACUUGGAGAUUUCAUAUUUUUUUUGGUGAACGCUUUUGAUUCGAGAGAACUAAAGUGAAUUAGUCCUUGAUGGUUGAGAAACACCAGGACUAUGUUAUUAAAUACAAUACAUUUCUCUGUAAGCUUGAUCCAUGUAUGAAUUCAUAAAGCCCAUAGUUAGUAAGUAUUGAAAACUACAAGGUGGACAUAACCCUAGCUUGCUAUUUCUCUGAAUUUGAAUACUACUACACAUAUUUCAUCUUGUUAAACUAAAACCAUUAAUUUGUGAACUGAAUCAAAUUUCCCCUAUUUAUUUUACGUAAACGAACUAUUAAAAGUCAACUAAUCUGCAUACAACUUAAUUAACACCAUAUUCCCAAUGGGAUUCUACCCCAACCUAGUUGGGUUAUAUUUGACAAUGACCGCUUACUCUCUCGUAAGAGAGGUGUAAUUUGGACGUAUCAUGGGCGAAGAAUGUGUAAAGAUUGAUGAUGUAUUAAUGGUAUUUGACGGUGAUACUAGUUGUGAUAGAUGAGUUAGUUGGUGGUAAGGAUUGACCCGACAGUGGUUGAUGGUGGUGACGGUGGAGAUAAUUAGAAAAAUGAAAGUGGUAUGUGAGGUAGCGUCCACCAGUAAUGCUUGGUAGUAGUUUUGGUUGUCAAUGGUGAUUGUGAUGGUAAAUGUGGUGGUGACUGGUGAUGGCAGAGAUGGUUAGUGGUGGUGACUGGUGAUUGUGGAUAGAAUGGUGAUGAAUAUUAUCCAUCACAAGAAUAUCUUUUAAUAAUAUUAAGACUUGGUUUAUAUCUAAAUGACUCUGACCUAUCUAGACAUAUUAAAAGUUAAAAUCUUAAUAAAAACAAGCGCACUCAAUGGUUUGAGGUCUGAACCAUUCAGACCUCCAUUAAGUGCAAACAAAAGAAGCCUUAGAUUCUUUUGUCUAUACGAGAUGAAAUCAUGCAAUUUCGAUACAGAUUCUCAAUAAAUAAGUAAAAGUUCACAAUAAAGUAUCAUACAAUAUCACAAAGUUAUUCUAAAAUAGUACAACAUUUAUUGAUUAAAUUUUAGUUCAAUAAAAAAUAAAAUUGAACAUGAGUUGUAGUGUAGUAUUGUUUUUUAACUUAAUUCCGCACACAAUACAGACAAACUCCUCACAUUGAAUAUGCAUUCUCAAUUAGAUAACAGAGAUGGACCAAAAUUGUUACUUUGAUCCAUUUGUUGGUCAAUAUCAUCAAUAACUAAAUCAUCAUAGCUGUAUUUUAUGAUUUUUCAAGAAGGACAAGUAACCGUUUAAAAAUCGUCAAUUCAAUAACUCAAUGUUGAUAAAUCAAUAACAUUUUUUGAUUCGAUCUUUGCAUGACAAAUUACAUUUGAAUAAAAUGGUUGGUUGAUAUAGAAUGUUUUUUUUUUUUUACAAAUCAUAAACUUAUGUGUUGUUAUAAAUGUAUUUACAUUAUAGUGAAUGCCUAUCAAGAUCUAUUAAGAUCUACUUUGAUAUCUAUUAGGAUUUGAAGCAUCCGUCUUUUACUCAGACGAGGAGUAAAUUUCCCCUAUAAAUAGAGGGGUUUUAUUCAUUGUAUUGACAAUCUUAUGAUCUCUCAUCCUUCAAAGAGAAAAAAUAAGAAUAACUCUCUCUAUUCUCUCUACUCUUCUUCUUGUUCUUUCUUAUUUUAUAACACGUUAUCAACACGAAGUUGUAACCAAUUGAGUAAUAAUUGAGAUAAAGCCGCCCAAAAUGUGAUCUGUCAAUUGCUCAACAUGCUUGAGGUAUUAUUUUUCUUUUAAUAAUUCCUCAUGAGGUAUGAUUUCUUUUAUUAAAUAAUUCCUUUAUUUUGUUCCGAUAUGGCAAAGAGCAAUAGAUCCACGAUUGGGACAAUGCACUGUUUUAAUAUUUACAUUACUGCUACUUUGAAAGAAAAAAAAAACUAAUUAAUACUUCAUUGAAUAAUUUUGAUUUGAAAAGAAGAAAUAUAAAAGAGUUACAUGCAAAGGUCCAUGCAUAUCUAAAAUUGCGUGAUGCGGUAGAUUGAUUGAAAAUUUCUUCUCUCUGUCUGCGUAUGCUUUACACAUUUUAUAUAUUUUUAUAUUAUAUUAUUAUAUCAUAUCUAUUGACAUUAACUCUUCUAUAUAAUUCAAGGUCAGUAAUUUCUUAUGUUAUCUGUAUUUUGUUACUAAUAAUAUAAUUAUUGUUGGAUUUGAGGAAAAAUAAUUGGUUUGGAACCAUUUAUGUUUAAAAUUUAUUCCUCAAGAACAAUAUUGUCAAAAAAAUAAUAAUAUAUUGGGUUCAAGUCCCAUCGAUUCAUGCCUAAGACGUCUUUAUAUGGAUCAAAUAUUGAGUUUGAAUCUCAAUACACCAUAUUGAUGAUAGUGUGAUGGACAAGGCAAAAUGAUGGGUGUUUGAUGAAAAGUCAUGAAAUUCGACCCAUUGAAUAUGCUCCAUUCCAUGAAGUGAAGGUGGUAGCAAUACAUGAUAAGUCUGAAGUAUGACAACUCACUUCCGAAUGAGGAAGAAUAAUUGAUUGAUUGUGAUGGUAUCACAACUCACCUCCGAAUGAGGAAGAAUAACUGAGAAUUGAUUGUGAUGGUGUCACAACUCACCUCCGAAUGAGGAAGAAUAAUUGAGAAAAAUUAUUUUGAAAUCUACUUCUAAAGUAGUAAAUCUGAAAUUUAUUCAUAUAAUAGUAAAUCUGAAAUUUACUAAAGCAAAAACACAUAUCAUGGUAAACUUGGAGUUUACUAGAAUAAACGUUCAUAAAUUGACAUGAAUGAUUGCGAUAUCUCGAAGAUAUGCAUACUGAGUAUUGAACAUAUAUAGAAGAAUUAGAAAAUUCUUUAUGAACUUGCUUGUUCUCAUCAUAAGUUGGUUGAACCAACUAAUUUUGAUAUUGGAUCCCUCAAAAUCUGAAAAGUAUAAAAGGUGAAUAAGGGUCCGUUCACCUAUCAUGUGAUAUGUUGAAAAGAUGCAUCAAUAAGAUGAUCACAUGUGCCUUCAUGGUCAACCUACGUUUGAUAUUCAUAAAGUUACUUGUUCAAUAUAAAUUGAGUAUGGUUUUCAGAUUGUGUAAUCAAGAUAAUUCAUCUUGAUGAUGAUGGUUUAGCAUUGAAUGCCUUCCAUAAAUAGUUGAACCAUUACUAAUGAGAACAAAGUUUCCUGCAUUGGUGUGAAAUAUGAUAUAUUGCAUACAAUAACACUUGUAUGCAUUAGACCAAUAUAUUAUGAUUAUUUCUCCCCUCUCAAUUGGUUCAAGGUCAGGAACCAACUAUUCCAUCUAAUAGUUUUGAUGUGCGGUAUAUGAUUAAUAAAUAUACCAUGAUGCAUAAAGAUGGAUUCCUUAAAGAAGACGAAGGAUGUAUGUUAGUUUUCCUACCAUAAGGGGGAGAUUAUAAGCAGCUAUGAAAUAUGUUAGGAAUUAUCAUCAGAUCCUCAUUCAAAAGAUAAUUCAAGUCAAAUGUCGAAAGCAUCUCAUAUUUAGCUGCAAGUGCUCCUAUUUUAUGUCCUUAGAGGAUAAAGUCUAUGUAUGCAUGAAGUAUGAUAGACCAAUUGGUUCCAAAUGAAAUAAUCUUUGAAAAGGAUAUGGAGCAAAUAAUCAUAAUAAGAAGACAAUGAGCCCUUGAAGAGCCUACGAUAUAACACUUCAUGAAACCUUAUGAGAGGUUCAUGUACCUGAAAUAAUGAAGUAAUGAGAUCUCAAAAUGCUAUGUCGCAUUGUGAACCGAUACUAAGUGAUAUAUCAUCAAUAUAUUUGACACAAUAUUGGCGCAAUAUUGUGAAAGAUUACGAGGAUCUUAAUUCUACGUUAAUUUAAGUAUGCAGAUGUAGAAAUAUUUAUCAAGUGACAUGAAAGGAUGCAUCUUGGUAAGUAUUAAACUUAUUUGAUUUGCAAUCCAAAUAUUUGAAGACGUCACUCAUGAAAUGUUGAAUAUUGUCACUUGAUAAAACUUAUGUGAAAAACUUCUUCAAGGAUUCAAAAUAUAAAAGUUUUUGGGAAACUUAUUGAUAAUCCUUAUAUUGUAUAAGCUUAUAGCUUGAAAAUUAUUGAAAUUCUUGGAGAGUUUUCAAAAGCAAUAAGAUUAUUUGCUGAAAUAAGAAAUAUACCAAUUUGGAUUGGUUAUGAAGUACCAUAUAUUAGUACAAUUGAUGCACUUAUGUAUCUUGUAAUACUACAAGACCCAAUAUAGCCUUUUGCUCAAUUUGUUAGCAAGGUAUAUUUCUACUCCUACUAGGAGACAUUGAAAUGGGAUAAGAUACAUGAGUUUAUUUUAUUCUAAAGAUUGCAGUCUCAAUCUUAUUGGUCAUGCUGAUAUUGGGUACUUAUCUGACCCGCAUAAAGCUCGGUCUCAAAUAGGCUAUGUGUUCAUAUGUGGUGGUACUGCAAUAUCUUGGAGAUAUACAAAGCAGUCUAUCAUAGUCACUUCAUUGAAUCAUGCUGAGAUAAUAGCUAUUCAUGAAGCAAGCCGAGAAUGUGUAUGGUUGAGGUCCAUGAUACAUCUCAUUCAAGAAAAAUGUGGUGUGAAAUAUGACAAUCUACCCACAAUUUUAUACAGAGAUAAUUCAGCAUACAUAGCACAUCUUAAGGGAGGAUUCAUAAAUGGAGAUAAAACAAAGCACAUUUUGUCAAAGCUUAUCUACAUACAUGAGCUACAAAAGAAUGAUGAUAUUAACGUGCAACGGAUUCGGUCAACUGUCAAUGUGACUAUUUAUUCACCAAAUCUUCUCCAAUUGCAACUUUUCAGAAGAUGCUGCACAAGAUCGAGAUGUAAAGGUCAAGGAUGUUCUCAUCAGGGGGAGUUAAUAUGCGCUGUACUCUUUUUCCCUUAUGAGGUUUUGUCCCAUUGGGUUUUCCUUGUAAGAUUUUUAAUGAGGCAGCCGAAAUACGUAUUAUUAGAGAUGUGUACUCUUUUUUCCUCACUAGAUUUUUUUCCUACUUGGUAUUUUCUAGUAAGGUUUUAACGAGGCACAUUAUUUACCAAUUAGACAUUCAAAGGGGAGUGUUAUAAAUGUAUUUACAUUAUAGUGAAUGUCUAUCAAGAUCUAUCAAGAUCUACUUUGAUAUCUAUUAAGAUUUAAAACAUCUGUCUUUUACUCAGACGAAGAGUAAAUUUUCCCUAUAAAUAGAGGAAUUUUGUUCACUGUAUUGAUAAUCUUAUGAUCUCUCAUCCUUCAAAAAGAAGAAAUAAGAAUAACUCUCUCUAUUCUCUCUACUCUUCUUCUUGUUCUUUCUUGUUUUAUAACAUGUGUCAAAUUUUAAAUUUUUAAAAUUUGAUAUCAUGAUAUAAAAUUUCAUUUUUUUCUGAGAGUUUUGGUAUUUUUGGUCUAAUGAUUUGAAAUUAUGAGAUAAAAUCGCAUGUCUAAAUGCUGAUUUUAUCUCAUGAUUUCAAGUCACGAGAUGAAAUCAUAUUUCUAAAGGCACAUAUGUUUUAAGAAGAAAUUUAAAAAUCUUGCAAUAUAUGUAUAAAAAUAUUUAUAAAAAAAACUAAUAUCAUUCAUGUAUUCAAAUUAUGAAAUUUAUUCAUAUAAUUUAUUUGUUCAAUAUCCUUCUUUCAUUUUCAGCUAAAUCAAAAUCUAAACGAAACCAAAUAUUGUUAGAUUUUUAAAAUUUUAAACCAAACAACAAAUGUCCCCUUUAAAAAAAAAAAUCAUUUGGUUUGAUUUUUGAUUGUAGCAAAAAGAUGUAUCCUAAAAUGACUAAACGACGUCGUACAUAUAUUUCCAGCGUUUAAUUUAGGCGGGGCAAUUGGCGCGGAUCCAAUUUGCGUUUGUUUAACGGUAGGGUUCUCACUCUUCUUCUCCGUAGAAAGGUAAUCUCAUUGUCCCCUAUAAUAUUCGCAAUUAAGCACACUAAUCAGAUCGAUGGAGUAUUAUUUAGAACUAAUGCUAUUGGUAAAUUCCAUCUUAAAUUAAAAAAUAUUGAUCAAUUAGUAGUGUUAGGGAAAUUUGAACACCUAAUAUUACUUGGCGAUAAUUGGGUGAUUAUGAAAGUAAAAUGUCUAGUUUGAAAAUCUUUUAUUUAUUCAUAUUCUUGAUUGAAUUUAGAGAAUAAUUAGAUUAUCAGUGUUAUUUUAAGUGAUUGCAGCAUGAAAAUUACUACUCCAUCCGUUCAGUUUUAAUUGUCAUGUUUGGCUUCUCGAAAGUCAAAAUUGUAUGAACUUUGACCAAUUUAUUUUCUCAUUAUAUUAAUAUAGUUUUUGAAUAUCUUUAAAUUUUAAAAUAUUGAAUUAACCUAAUUCAAUUUAGCUCCGAAGAUUAAUCAAAUUGGCUCUCUUGAAGCAAUAUGUGAAGAGUAAAAUUGAAUGGAGGAAGUACUGUGUUUUUUAUACCUAAACGUCAAUGUAGCUGUAUGUGAGUUUUUUUCACUAACUUCAGAAGUUUACAAUUUGCUUGAUUUCACUUCAAUGUGGAAUCUCUGAUUUUUUCUGUGUAUGUGUAGUCUUAGCCGCAUUGUUGUUGAAGCAAUUAUUAGAGCGAAAUUAAAUGGACCCAGACCAAGUUGUUGCUGAAUUGGUUGGAAUGGGAUUUGAGUUAUCUGAUAUUACAAAUGCUAUAGAAGUUGUGGGUCCAUCAAUUGAUGCUGCCAUUGAUUAUCUACUCGAUGAUUCUCGAAGAGACACUGCGAGUGCAUCAACUAGUAAUUCACGUUUCACCAGUCAUGCCGGUCCUCUGGGAAAAAGAGGCCCCAAUUCUACAUCGCGUGCUGCAGGCAAAAUACGACAAUCAAGCAUAAAUGAAUUCGUUGAAUCAGCUGGUAGACCUAAAAGAAGCAAGACAAUGAAUAAGUUGGAUCUGUCUCAAUCAGAAGUCCUGCAAAGAGAUACCAAAGAUCGAAAUGUGCAUCCUCCUAUAGAGGAUUCUGAUCUCCGCAUUGCAACUGAAAAGGCUGUAUUAUCAUCUUAUAGCAAAGAUGAAGAUGUUGGACCAGAUUGGCAAAAGAAGGUUGAGAAUUUGUUGCAGAAGCACUUUGGAUUUUCAUUGUUGAAGGAUUUUCAGAAAGAAGCUCUGGAAGCUUGGUUAUCUCACCGUGACUGUCUUGUUCUUGCAGCAACAGGAUCAGGUAUUAGCCUUUCAUACUUUUCCUUCGCCAUUCUCCCUCUUCCUGUAAAAUACGAUUUUUCGGUGUCUCAGAGUUAUGUUUCUGUAGGGCAAUCUUUGUGUUUUCAGAUUCCUGCAUUGCUGACCGGGAAGGUUGUCAUUGUUAUAUCACCUUUGAUUAGCUUGAUGCAUGAUCAGUGCUUGAAGUUAGCAAAUCAUGGUGUUUCUGCUUGCUUCCUUGGAUCUGGUCAAACUGAUCGAAGUGUUGAACAAAAAGCAAUGUCAGGCAUGUAUAGCAUCAUUUAUGUAUGCCCUGAGACAAUUUUAAGGUAUUGAGCAUGUACUCUUGAAUGGUACUUCAAGGAUAGUGUUGGCUGUUAUUGACAAAUGAGUUCCUGACUUUGUUUUUUUCCAGACUCAUUAAACCCCUCCGAAGCCUCGCAGAAAGUCGUGGAAUUGCUCUAUUUGCAAUCGAUGAAGUUCAUUGUGUUUCGAAGUGGGGUCAUGAUUUUCGGCCAGAUUACAGGUUUAUGUUCUUUUGGUUAUCUCUCAAAAGUGUAACCUAACGGCUCUCAUCUCUCUCUAACGGCUCUCUCUCUUCCUCCCUACCCCCUCUCUCGCUAGCUCCGGUCACCGGCCCCCGUCGUCGUCGCCGACCCGACCCAACCUCCGGGCCCGACCUCCGGCGNNNNNNNNNNNNNNNNNNNNNNNNNNNNNNNNNNNNNNNNNNNNNNNNNNNNNNNNNNNNNNNNNNNNNNNNNNNNNNNNNNNNNNNNNNNNNNNNNNNNNNNNNNNNNNNNNNNNNNNNNNNNNNNNNNNNNNNNNNNNNNNNNNNNNNNNNNNNNNNNNNNNNNNNNNNNNNNNNNNNNNNNNNNNNNNNNNNNNNNNNNNNNNNNNNNNNNNNNNNNNNNNNNNNNNNNNNNNNNNNNNNNNNNNNNNNNNNNNNNNNNNNNNNNNNNNNNNNNNNNNNNNNNNNNNNNNNNNNNNNNNNNNNNNNNNNNNNNNNNNNNNNNNNNNNNNNNNNNNNNNNNNNNNNNNNNNNNNNNNNNNNNNNNNNNNNNNNNNNNNNNNNNNNNNNNNNNNNNNNNNNNNNNNNNNNNNNNNNNNNNNNNNNNNNNNNNNNNNNNNNNNNNNNNNNNNNNNNNNNNNNNNNNNNNNNNNNNNNNNNNNNNNNNNNNNNNNNNNNNNNNNNNNNNNNNNNNNNNNNNNNNNNNNNNNNNNNNNNNNNNNNNNNNNNNNNNNNNNNNNNNNNNNNNNNNNNNNNNNNNNNNNNNNNNNNNNNNNNNNNNNNNNNNNNNNNNNNNNNNNNNNNNNNNNNNNNNNNNNNNNNNNNNNNNNNNNNNNNNNNNNNNNNNNNNNNNNNNNNNNNNNNNNNNNNNNNNNNNNNNNNNNNNNNNNNNNNNNNNNNNNNNNNNNNNNNNNNNNNNNNNNNNNNNNNNNNNNNNNNNNNNNNNNNNNNNNNNNNNNNNNNNNNNNNNNNNNNNNNNNNNNNNNNNNNNNNNNNNNNNNNNNNNNNNNNAGUGGGGGGCGCGUGGAUAGCGACGGUAGGCUGAGGGUUGGGUCUUGGAAUAUAGGGACCCUUCAGGGGAAGUCCAUAGAGCUGGUGAAGAUUCUUAGGAAGAGAAGGAUCAACCUUGCGUGUGUCCAAGAGACCAAGUGGGUAGGGUCUAAGGCUAGGGAUGUGGACGGUUACAAGCUGUGGUACUCUGGGAGCGACAGGCGUAGGAAUGGAGUUGGCAUCUUGGUAGAUGAAGAGCUUAGAGGUCAGGUAGUGGAGGUGAAGAGGAUCAACGAUAGGUUGAUGACUAUCAAGUUGGUCAUUCGGGGGUUUACCCUGAACGUGUGUAGUGCCUAUGCGCCGCAUGUGGGAUCGGAGGGGGAGGAGAAGAUGCGGUUCUGGGAGGCCUUGGAGGACGUGGUGAGAGGCGUGCCCAGUUCGGAGAAGAUUGUGGUAGCAGGGGAUUUCAACGGGCACAUCGGGGCGCUACCGGGAGGCUUUGGGGAUGUGCAUGGAGGUUUUGGUUUUGGGGAGAGAAAUGAAGAGGGGGCGACCCUAUUGGAGUUUGCGAGGGCGUUUGGGCUGGUGGUGGUGAACUCGGGCUUCCCGAAGAAGGACGACCACCUGAUCACUUUUCGGAGCGCGGUAGCCAGGACCCAGAUUGACUUCUUGUUGCUUAGGAAAGGGGAUAGGGCGCUGUGUAAAGAUUGUAAAGUCAUCCCGAGUGAGAACCUUUCGACCCAACAUAGGCUCUUGGUUAUGGAUUUGGGUAUGAAGAAGAAUAAAAAGAGGAGGAGUAAGGAGUGUAGACCGAGAAUUAAGUGGGGCGGUUUGACGCCAGUGAAUGCGUGGGAGAUAGGGGAGAGGUUGGCGGGAAUGGGGGUGUGGGAGUGUAGGGGGGACGUGGAUAAUAUGUGGGACAGGGCGGCAGCGUGCAUCAGGGAAAAUGCAAGGGAGGUGUUGGGUGUUUCUAGGGGCCGGGCCGGACAUCAUCGGGGGGAUUGGUGGUGGAAUGAAGAGGUGGGGAAGAAAGUGGAGACCAAGAAAGAGUCGUAUGCUAAGUUGGUGGAAAGUAAGGACGAAGAGGAGAAGCGGGUAAACAGGAAAGAGUACAAGCUAGCGAGGAAGGAGGCGAAGUCAGCGGUCACGGCAGCUAAGACGGCUGCUUUUGAGAGCUUGUAUGCAGGGUUACAGGGGAAAGGAGGGGAGAAAAAGUUGUUCCGACUCGCUAAGGCUAGGGAGAGGAAGGGUCGUGACCUCGAUCAGGUGAGGUGCAUUAAGGGGGAGGACGGUAGAGUGUUGGUGGAGGACGGCCACAUUAAGAAGAGAUGGCAGUCAUACUUUCAUUGGCUCUUGAAUGACGAAGGAGAUAUAGCUAUUGUGUUAGGGGAACUGGAGCACUCAGAGGAGUGUCGGGAUUUUAGCUAUUGUAGACGUUUUAAGGUAGAAGAGGUUAGACAGGCUGUCCGCAGGAUGCGAAGGGGUAGGGCGACGGGGCCGGAUGAGAUACCGGUGGCGUUUUGGAAGUUCGUUGGAGAGGCUGGUGUAAGGUGGUUGACUGGAUUGUUUAAUGAAAUUUUCAGGACGGCAAAGAUGCCCGAGGCGUGGAGGUGGAGUACCAUGAUCCCUCUCUAUAAGAAUAAGGGGGACAUUCAGAGUUGUAAUAACUAUAGGAGGAUUAAGUUAUUGAGUCACUCGAUGAAAAUCUGGGAGAGAGUGAUCGAG
rnacentral:lncRNA from 1 species